AUGGAAUGAAGACUGUUUGUUAAAACACCCUGCCCCUCUGUUUACUUGGACCUGAUUUUGAAAGUACAAGUCACUUUAUUUGGGCUGGAGGAAAAAGCACUAAACCAGAUGUUGAGGUGACCGGGAUUCCUGGAAGACGUUCUUCUCUCCGACGAGACGCGUGAUGCAUGAAGUAGGAGCCCCUGGCAAGGAGCCCAGGCUGCCAUGGCCUCGCUCGCUCAUGCUUCCCGGCAUGGCCCCGAGGCUAGCUGCCUCUGUACUGCCUGAGCAUCAUCCCCUGGUGUGUCACCAGACUACUCACUAUCUGUGCUUGCACCUGCGGGUAGGCAGUUCAGUCGCCGCAGGCCGAAGCUCCCUGUCAUAGGAAUCCAUCAACACUGGAGUUCACCAAAUGGCCCAGUCCAGGAAGCAUGGUCAUGGCAAUACCUGGAGUCUCCACCGCAAGACCAGAGUGAUGGAGGCAGCAGAGCUCCUCAGCAGACCAGGAGUCUCCAGAGGCACUGCAGAAUGUCUAGGAAGCAACCUCAUUGUAUUCCCAAGACCCGGGAAUCCAGGUCUCACAGACAUGAAAGCCAGAUAUGGAAGAAUUUGCAGCCUCAUACGGAUUGGCCCAUUGAGGAGUCCACUCAUCUCUCUUUUAGAAAAAAGAUCACAUUUAUGGAAUAAAGAAUAUACUAUGCUCUCUACUUACCAAGAGAUUUCUUUCUCUAUUGACAACGUUUUGUUGACGUGAUUACUGUGCAGGUUCUGACGGUCGAUUCUUUCCACCUAGCUCACUGCUGAAGCUAUAAUGAUUUCCAUUUUUCAAAAAGAGGAUGAUUACUUAUUAUCUGUGACCAUUUCUCAAUCACAGAACGAUUGAACUGCAUAGUCCCCGCGAUCUUGUAAAGGCAUUUGGCCUAGAAGACGCUCUGCAGCCAUGUGCCAAGAACAAUGGCUAUAGGGACAAUGUUUCGUUAACCCCAAAGCAGCAACCUGAACCUCUUACUGUACAAUAUCUGCUCCGUUCAGAAUUGGCUCGACUUGAGUCACAGGAUGAAGCUUAUCAAAAGGAAUUUCCAUGUCCAAGGAAGGAACCAAGAUCACUGAGAGGUUAUAGUAUGAAAAUGAAGAGAAAAAAUCUAUUCUAAACAUUUUGUUAAUUGUCAAUAAUUAUUUUAAAACAUUUAAUAUAGUCUCCUAUCUGGUCCGCUGGCAUCAAGCUGCCGAAUUUACAUGGUCGCUCUGGGAAGCCAGCUGGCAGGCGGGCAUGGAAAGUGCUGGCUCCCAGCGCAUUGAGAAGACCAACAGAUAGAUGGUAAUUUUCCUCUUUGUUUUGUUUUUCUUUUUUUCUCUCCCUCUUUUUCUUCCCUCUUGCCUUUCCCUCCCAUUGCCCCACUUUUUUUUUUUUUUUUUUUUUUUUGGCUAUUGAAGAUUUAUUGCCUUUCAGUACUUACAGAUGAUGUUUUCAUAGGCUCUAAUGAGGUCCCAGCAGUUUUUAACAAUAACAGGACAUUACUGUUCCUAAGAUAUAUUAUGUGUUUUCCCUCAUCUUUCUCCCUUGAAUGAAAUGCUUAGAAGUAGGCUAACCCCCAAUUCCCUUCCCUUUACUAUGAUAAAUGGCUCCAUUACUUAAUAGGGCUAAAUAUUUUGCUGUGACUUUUCUACUGCUCAUUUGAAUAAAAUCUUAAGAAAAGCUUUUCUUGUGUGUUUUUCAGGUACUUUCUAGGAGAGUACCUGAGCACGUGCAUGCAAACACCUGUGUAUUAUCAGCCUUGAGAAACCUCUUUUUUUUUUUUUUUUUUUCCUGAGACAGGGUCUGGCUCUGUUGCCCAGGUUGAGUGUAGUUGUGCAAUCAUGGCUCGUUGCAGCCCUGAACUCCUGGGCUCAAGAGAUCCUCCCACCUUAGCCUCCCAAGUGGCUGGGACUACAGGUGUGUGCCACCACACUUGGCUACUUUUUAUUUUUGGUAGAGAUGGAGGUCUUACUUUGUUACCCAGACUGGUCUCGAAUUCUUGAGCUCAAGUGAUCCUCCUGUCUCAGCCUCCCUAAGUGCUGGGAUUACAGGUGCAAGCUGCCAUGCCCAGGAACCCUUUCUAAUGCCAUCCUUGCUAGUCAUGCAUCUUGCUGGCAAGUUUUGCAGCAUUUCCUGAUCCUCCUUGAGAGCUGUCCAGGGAGAUUGCUCACUAUCUCUCCAGUUCCUGGAUUCUGAGGCAGUUCAUUUUGUCACCCAUGGCUCCAACCCCAUGUGACAUGUCCACCUUUCACAGGAAGCUGCAUCCUUCUCUGAGUUGCCUGCAAAGGCCGGCCAUCCUCCAGUUGCCUCAAUGCGACCCGUGACCAUGGAGGUAUUUUUUAAAAGGAAAAACCAUUGCCAUGAACAAGUCCCUCAGCACCACAUGACUUAACUAGGGGGGUCCUGACACUUGUUCUUCCGUGGUGACAGGGUUGGCAGCCCACUCCAGAGGUAUUUUUUGUUGUUGUUGUUCUUAAAGGUAAGACAGAUUA
ensembl:lncRNA